UGGUGGAGCGAUUUGUCUGGUUAAUUCCGAUAACGAACGAGACUCUAGCCUAUUAAAUAGUUCGCCGAUCACGUAACGUCGGCGUCAACUUCUUAGAGGGACAAGUGGCGUUUAGCCUCGCGAGAUUGAGCAAUAACA
rnacentral:rRNA from 1 species